UAAUAAUUAUUAUUUUGUAACUACUAAGAUAGUAUGUAAAUGUCUUGGUGCUGGGUCAUGUUGGACAGAAAGGCUGAUGUUAAAGUUAAUGUGCAGCCACUGAUUCUGCCAGAUAGAAAUGUGAACUGCCUCUCCCUGCCAUUUCUUCUCUUGUUUACAUAUCAUGCAUAUUUACUUUACUGUAGCUGUUAGAAACUGUGUACUUGUAGGGCAUCACUGUCCCUGAUACACACUGAGCUUCUCUGAGCUGUACAUGCCUAUACACUUCCAUUUGCUUCUGAGCCAUACAAUCCAUAUUGGCAUUUUGAGCAUUUGCCUUGCUCCCGGCACACUGUGGCGAAAAUGUAACUAUACGAGGAACGUCAUUACACCUGUUUUCAGGACUCAUUGGAACCAAAGGGCGCUGUUAGCUAUCAGCUAAUAAGUAGCUUGUUGUCAGCUAUUAGCCGUUAGUUUUGAUGGGGAAUGCCAACACUGCUUUCCUAAUGAGGGAUUUUAACUUAUGUUAAGUACCACCAAAAGUAUAGCUGGGAACUAGGGUUCCAAGACCAAAUCAACAUGUUAUGCCGCAUUUCCGACUUUGGUAUGGCUCAAUUUUUUUGUUGGUUUUUCCCAUUAGCUUAAGUUGUGGCUAUUGCCUGAUACCUGGUACUUUUUUUAGUACUACCUCGGCCGGGUUUCCAAGUGAGCUAAGAUGAUGCUACGAUGACGUCAGUUUCUCGCGGCGACACUAUAAUGAUAAGCUGAGAAUCCAUCCUACACUGAGAGAGUACUGAGGACAUACAGUGGAAAAUGUAAAGGAAUAGUAACUGGUACCAGGAAAGUGAGUGGAGUCGAGCAGAGCUGCCCCAUGUGAUGGAAACGUUGAUUUGGUCUCUCUAUGUCCAGCUCCCCUAUCCUUCCUUCGGAAAACAAAGAUCACACAUAUAUAGUUGAUUUAAAGUACAGUGGAAAAAGCUCAGUUAAAUCCUUAGACAGCUGAGCACUGUAACGUAGAAAAUGUGUUGUGACAUUACGUAGCGUGCUGCCAGCUAACAAGUCCAUGUUAACCAUUGGUUUUAAAUGGAAUCUCAUUGCUAACAAAGCAAUUUUAAGUUUUUGGAUGUCACAACAGUGUGACAUGCACCCUGCAUGGUUAAAAAGCAAAAAGACAAAUAGUGGAGCAAAGGAAAGUACUCAAAAUGUUGUCUCUGUGUCUGUGGUCUUUUAGCCACAGCCAGAUGGCUCAGCGGCAUUUUGAAAGCAAACCUUUUGUGAAACGUGUGGACAGAACUCAUGUAGAAAAGAUCUGAGUAUCACAGGAUGCAUUGCUACCUUCUGCUCUGGGUAACUCUUCUGUUAACUACUGUGUCAUUACAGGAGAUGGGCUCAAGAGUUACAGCUGUGACAUUUUGUGGUCACAGUUGUGACAUUUUCACACAGUACAAGUGGCAACACCCAGGAAGCAGAGAGGGCUUCAUAGAAAAUGUCUCCAUGUGAAAUGCUAAAUGCUGCCCAGUGUAGCUCCCAGACGCCACACAAAUACUUGAAUAUUAGAAAACAUUGACAACAAAAAAGCUCAAGGUGCACUAACUGGCUUUGCUGGAGCUUUUAACCACAUCUCAUGUUUGAAAGCUCAGGUGAAAAUGUAUUUGAAAACUACUGUUUUCAGUGGUCAAGAAUUUGUGCUGAAAUGCUGUGCUCAUCAUGCACACUGACUGAGAACUGAGAGAGUGGCGGAUAUCAUUUGGAGUCUCGGUACAGAUACCAAAACAAUAAACAAUACAAAGCUCUGAAAUGUUCAAUAUAUAUAAACUAUCGUAAAUUAGUCUAAAAUGAGUAGUCUCGCAUUGCCAGACCUUCCUCCGCAGCAUUCUGGGAUGGGAGAGAGCUCUGGUUCAUUGGCAUUUCUUUAAACCAAUCACAAUUGUCGGGGGCGGCGCUAAGCACCGCACAGCGCAACGACGCCUCUGCAAAAUAGCCUCAAACUUCUUUUGGUGGAACGUGCGUACGUUCAAAAUUUGUUUUGGUCGCGCAACAGAAAACUCAGAUUGGACAGAUAGUCUCGCUAGCUGUCUGGAUUUACCCUGCAGAGAUCUGAGGAGCAUUAACCAUAGUCCUCAGAAAUCCACCAGAGGUUAGAACGCCAUUACGAAAGAAAGAGGAAGGUGACGGACAUCCGGCGGAAUUUGCGGUGGCUCCCUGAACAAUCCCAGAAGUGGAAGGUCGUGGAUAUAGACUAAAAAUGUGUGAAUUGUAAUUGGGUCCUAUGUGAUCAAAGAGUACGUUACAAUAUUACAAAUCGGACCAGAUAUUCGAUGCAAACCUUUGGUACUUUGGCCAGUUUUCCAAACUCGCUGCAUAAGACACGUUUCAGUCGCCGACGGUGACCUUUGACCCUUCAUCUGUUCUUCAUGAGUUUCUGUCCACCUCCCUCUGACCUCAACCCGUCUGCAGUGUACUGCUUAGAAUGGUGAAUUCCAUUGUCAUUUAUACUGUCAUCUGAUACCUCCAUUGUGCAAUAGAUAUUGUUUAUUUUUUAUUGUUGUUAAGUGUAUCCUGUGAAACCAGUCGGAUGUUUUUUUUGAUAUGUAGUGUAUGUUUUUAAUAUAAUUAUUUAUGCACCAGCAUCCAGCAACCAACCACUCCCCUGUCCCGACUUUUUAGAGGAAGUCAGAAUCUACAAACCUUUCAUUCCUUUCAUUUUAUUUUAUUUAUUUGGGGGAAAGCAAAUGGUAACUUUCAGUACUCAAUAUGUUUUAAUUUAAUCAGCAGUGUUAGCAGUUAAAACAAUUUAAAAACUAUAUUAAUAGGAGGAUUGAUGAAAAACAUUCUUUUUUUAAAUGUACAACUUAUUUCUCAGUUUUCAUAUGCAUUUUAUUUCUCUCACAAUGGUGGAUGUUUCAUUUUGGUACAAAAGCCUUUGUCUUAAUGACAUACUAAUGCUUAUUAGUAAGCAGCCCAACCUGAAUCUGGACUUUUCAUUCUACUUUCACUUUCUUUUCUUCCCUAAAGCUUCUUGGGUUUUUAUUUUUCUGCCUUCAACUGCCCUUCCUCCCACGUAGGCAAAAUACUCUGAGCUGUCUUUAUUAAGAUGCAUACAAUGUGUAUACAGUCUGUAUAGUAACAUGUCUGUCAUAUUUGUCCUAUAAAAAGUGAAGAAGAAAAAGUAAACUUGAUAAGGACCCAUUUGGAGGAUUGCUUACGGUUACACUAAUCGCUGAGGAGAGAACAGUGAUCCUCUCCACAUGGUCUGUACUGUUUACUACAAUAAAUAUUUCAGUUGAAUGAGAA